UACAGAGGGGGCAAGCGUUGUUCGGAAUUACUGGGCGUAAAGGGCGCGUAGGCGGCCUUCUAAGUCGAACGUGAAAUCCCCAGGCUCAACCUGGGAACUGCGUCUGAUACUGGAUGGCUUGAAUCCGGGAGAGGGAUGCAGAAUUCCAGGUGUAGCGGUGAAAUGCGUAGAUAUCAGGAGGAACACCGAUGGCGAAGGCAGGUCUCUGGGCCACUACUGACGCUGAGAAGCGAAAGCAUGGGGAGCGAACAGG
rnacentral:rRNA from 1 species